rnacentral:sRNA from 1 species
UAUAUCAUCAACUAUGAUGUUUUAUAAUGUUAAGGUAUAUCCUGUGAUGGUUGAAGUAUGUCAUGUACUACUUGCCUUUGAUUUUAUAGGGGAUUAUACUCAAGAUAUUCCAUGAUUCUCAGAAGAGACUUGGGACUUUCAAACAUUGUUGUGGUGUGUUAGACUAUCGGGACUUUUGGAGUUGGAGUUAAUAUAUUUUGUAUAGUGUAAUGCUAGAGCUUGUCAUAAUCCCAUUGCCUCAUGUGUUUAAACAAGACUAUGAAUGCCAUAGACUGGAAUGUGAUUGGUGAGAUAUGUUUAGCCUAUGAGAAGUAGUUUGCAAUAAUCAGGCAUGUGGCCUUGUUGGGGAAGGUAUAGCUUUCCUACAGGAAGUGUGUCAGAUUGUGUCACAAUGGAGGCAGUGCUUUGAAAUGUCAGGAAAUUGUCAAUUCUGGGCAGAGUGAUCCAGACCAUACUCCCGGCUGGCUGUAAAAGAGAGUCUCCUAACUGGAUAAAGCUGUAGAACCCUUGGCUCCUCCAGCACCAUGGCUUCCUAUAUGCUGUCAGGCUUCCUGACAUGAUCGUAAUAUUAGGAAUUUACUAGCAGGGCUGAUGGUAUUGCUAUGGUAGGUCUGACCAUAGUUUUGUUUGAAGGAAUAAUUAUUUUAGGAUUUUGUAAUGGAGGGGAGGCUUUAAAUGGGGCUUAUCGGUCCAUAGGAUUAGAAGCAUGGAAGACAGUGUUGCUGAGAGUGAUUUCAACUGUGGGGGCCUGUCUCUAAGAAACUUCAAAGGAGAAGACUCAUAAACCUGAAUCUCCAAAGUGUCCCCAGAUAAUAUUAUGAUGACAAUCAUCCAUGAGCCAUCAAUGUCCAUAUUGAAACCUACAAUCAUUGUUGCUUCUGAAGAGAUUUCUAACGUCAAGGAUCCCUGAAGCCAGCAGAAUGUACGCUGAAGUUCACAGUCAAUACUGCAACCUCAGGUCAUGUUGAGAGUUCCACAUAUAGUGAGUUGAGGUCACAUAUAUACUGGCAACAGACAACAGUGCAUGUAUGUGAUACUUCAGGCCUCAGCAGCCAUGAUAUCAUUGAUCUCCACUGCCUCACGAGAGCACAUUAAUAUGAGUGUCUCCAACUGCCAGUAAAAUCAUUACAGAUAUCAGUUAUCCAUGAUCCUGUCCAACUUGUGAGAAGGGUUCUGCCAGCUGUAACCAUUUUUAUGUCAUGUUGUAUCCUGUCACUAAACAAGAGGUUUCUGUUCAUGGCCAUACCUGCUAUCUGAAACUAUCUUAAUGUCCCUGAUAUUCAUGGCAACUGACACCAUGGUGUAUCUCUGAUCCUUCCUGCAACUUUGGAUCAGUUGAUAACAUGAGAAAUACCGGCAUCCAAAGAAAAUACAUUGAUAUUACUCAUAUACAAUGCCACUGGUAACAAUACUGAGAUCCAUAGUCAGUGUUGUGCUGGAAAAGAUCCCUGAUGUCUUAGAUCCCAAUGCCAGAAGAGUCUAUUAUAAAGAUCAUUGUCAGUAGUGCUGCCUACUGUCAUAAUGAGGUAAGUACUGUGUUUUGUUAAUGAAGACACCAUUGAUGCCAGUGAUCCUACCUGCAACCUGAAGUUAUGUUAAGGUCACUGCUGUUUGAAGUGAUCAGCAAUCAAGAUGGAGUCCAUUGUUAAUAUCACUGAAGGUGAUCUUGGCGAUGGCUAUGAUCUACAUUGUUUCUGGAGAACCUGAUGAAUGCCAAGGUCCAUACUGAUGCAGAACGUCAUUUUGAGGUAAUUGUUUUGAGCUGGCACUGGAGAUCUGAUUGAUAGCUGAGAUUCGACCCAUCACAGUAAAUUCAGUUGAAGUUUCUGAUGCAUGCAUGUAUCCUCCGAUGUUGAUCAUGCAAAGUAUUUUGAUGCCAGCAAUCCUACCUGUAUCAUGAAGCUCUGUUGAUGUCAGUGAUGUAUUCUGUGUCCAGAAAUAAUGAAGGAGUACAUUUUUCAUAUUGGUGAUGGAGUCUCUGAUGAUGGCUAAGAUAUGUGUUGCUGUUCGAGCACCUGAUAAAUUCCAAGGUCCUUAUUGAUUCCUGAAUUCAUAUUGAGGAAAUUCUGUUGAUGUUCCUGAUGCAUGCAUAUAGGUCCAGAUGCUAUAUGUGCAAUAUAUGAUGAUGCCUAUGAUAAUAUCUGAAACAUAAACCUAUGUAGAUGUAAAUGCUGCAUGAUAUGAGCUGCAAUCAUGAUGGAGUCCCUUAUUCCUAUCGUUGAUGGCAUAUCAUAGUUAAGGCUAUGAUCUGUGUUGCUGUUUGAGAAUCUGGUGAAUUUGACAGUCAAUACUGAAGCCCAAGGUCAUAUUGAGGAGAAAUGUUUUACCAGUCUAACCGUUUUGAUGUCAUGAUGCAGCCUACCACUACAGAAGAGGUUUCUGUACAAGGUCCUACUGAUCAUCUGAAUAUGCAGAGUACUGGAUAUGCAUAAUACUUCCUGGCAAAAGUCAAGAUGGCAUAUUCCAGAUCAAUGCUGCCAUAAGCAGCAAGGUUAUGACUAAUACUUGCUGUCACUUUGGACCUGAUCGAUGACAUCAAUGAUCCCAACUGUCAAAGGAAGUAUAUUGAUGUCACUCAUCCAUGAUGCUACUGGUGAUCAUGUUGAAAUCCAAAGUCAGUGUUUUCAUGGAAGUAUUCCCCGAUGUGUGAGAUCUCUGAGACAGCAGAGUCUUUCGUGAAGUUCAUGAUCAGUAGUGAUGCCCAAGGUCAUAAUGAGGUAAGUGUUGUGUGCUGCUACAGGAGAUGCAUUGGAUGCCUGUGACUACCUGAAACAUGAAGUUAUUCUGAUGCCAGUGCUCCAGCUGUGACCAGCAAUCAUUAUGGAGUCCAUUAUUCCUAUUACUGAUUGAGACCCUGGUGAUUGCUAUGAUCUCAUUUGCUUCUGGAAAACUACCUGAAUGCCAAUGUCCAUACAGACAACUGAUGUCAUAUUGAGUGUUCUGAGAUGACACUGGAGAACAGAUUGAUGGCUGAGAUCCUAAGUGUCACAGGGAAUUCUGUUGAUGUUCCUGACAAAAACAUGUAGUCUGUGAUGUCUAUCAUGGAAUGUAUCUUGAUGCCUGUGAUCCUACCUUUAACAAGAAGCUAUGUUGAUAUCAGUGAUACAUUCUGUGACCAGCAAUCAUGAAGGAGUCCAUUAUUCCUAUUGGUGAUGGAGAUCCUGGAAUGGCUAUGAUCUACAUUUCUGCUUGAGAACCUGAUAAAUUCCAAGGUUCUUAUUGAUGCCUUCUAGCAUACUGAGGUAAGUGUUCUUAGUUGGCCCUGGAUAUCAUAUUGAUGUCUGAGAUCCUACCUCCCACAGGAAAUUCAGAAGAUGUCAUGGGUGCAUGCAUGUAGCUCCUGCUGUUAAUCAUCAUUACCACCCCAAGAAGUGGAAGUGAUGCCUAAUAUCUAUCCUGCCACUGGAGAAGAGGUUUAUAAUCAUAAUUUCAUCUGCUGUUCGAAUUGUUGCUGAUGUCACUGAAAUAUACCUGGCAAGAGACACCACAGUAUUGCCCAUCAUCCAUACUGCUUUUGACAAAGUUGUCAGUGAUCUCUGAUUCCACUGGGAACCAUGCUAAUAUCACUAAUCCAAAGUGCCUACAGCAACUUGGAUGGUGUGAAUCAUCCAUCCUGUACCAGGAGCUAUGUUGAAACCCAUAGAAUAUAUUGCUUCUGAAGACAUGAUUAUUGUUAAUGGUACCUGAAUCCAUCAAAGUAAGGUGAAGUUCAAGUUCAAUAGUGCUGCCAAUGGUAAUGUUUAGUUAUAUUUUCUGACAUAUGUUAUGUUGAGAGCAUAUAAAUUGUGGUGAUGUACACUGGUGUAUGUCCAUAAUACCUCAGGCCUCCAACAGCCAUGCAAGUAAUACCUGCUGCCAUUAGGGAUAGGAGUUUAUCCAACUGCCAAUGGAAUUAUUACUGAUAUCUGUUUUCCAUUCUUCUGCUCAAUUUAUGAGAAUAUUCUUGCCCUCUAUAACAAUUUUGAUGUCAUGAUGCAUCCUGCCACUAGAGAAGAGGUUUAUGUUCAUGACCAUACUUCUCCUCUGAAACUAUUUUGAUGCUCCCUAAUACUUUGUGGCAACUGACUCUACUUUAUAUCCCACAACCCUGAUGCCAUAGGCAACCAGGUCAGGGGUGAAGCUUACUCCCACUUUGGACCAUUCAAUGAAACCAGAGACCACAACUGCCAAGGGAAGUAUAUUGAUAUCACUCAUCCAUGAUACCACUGGUAACCAUGUUGAGAUCCAUAGUCAAUGUUUGUAGGUGGAAUGGCUUAGCAACAAAUGUUGCCUUUGACGAGCUCCUUGGCUGCUGAGAUCCCUUGGCCACUAGAGUCUAUUGUAAAGAUCAUUGUCAUUAUGGCUGCCUAAGUUUAUAAACAGGAAAGAGCCGUAUACUAUUACUGUCAUCACCUUUGAUGUCAGUGAUCAUAUCUUCAUUUUGAAGUUCUGCUGAUAUCAUUGUAUGCUCUAAUCAGCCAGCGUGAUAGAGGCCAUUGUUCCUAUUACAUAUGGAAAACCUAAUGAUGACUAGAAUCUGUGUUGCUUCUGGAGAAACUUCUGAAUUCCAAGGACCUUGGGACCAAUAUCAUCCAAGGUCAUAUUGAGGGUAAGUGUUGUUAGCUGACAAAACUAAUCUCUGAGAUCCUACCCACCACAGGGAAUUCUACUGAUGUUCCUGAUGCAUGCAUGUAGCUCCUGAUGUGAAAAAACAUUGUAUUUUGAUGCUUAUGAUCCUACCUGUAACAAGAAGUUGUGCUGAUACCAGUGCUGCAUGUGGUGACUAGAAAUCAUGAUGGUGUCCAUUAUUCCUAAUGCUGAUGGUGAUGGCUCUUAUUUGUGUUGCUGCUUGAGAAUCCAAUGAAUCCCAAGGUCCAUACUGAUGCCCAUGAUCAUUUUGAUGUAAAUAUUUUUAGCUGGUACUGGAGAUCCGAUUGUUAUCUAGAAGCCUACCCGAAACAGGAAAAUUGGUUGAUGUUCCUUAUACAUGUGUGUAGCCCCCCAUUUUAAACAUGUAAUAAAUAUUGAUGCCUGUGAUCCUGCCUGAAACAUGAAGCUGUUUUGAUGUCAGCACUGUUUGAUGACCAGCAAUCAUGAUGGAAUCUAUUAUUUCCAUUGCUAAUGGACACACUGGUGAUGGCUAUGAUCUAUGCUUUUGCUUGAGAACCCGAUGAAUCCAAAGGUCUGUAAUGAUGUGGUAGGUGAUAUUGAGGUAAGUGUUCUGAGCUAGCAAUGGAGAUCAUAUUGAUAUAUGAGAUCCUAUCUGCCACAGGAAAUUCUGUUGAGAUCACUGAUACAUGAAUGCAGCCCCUGAUUUUUGACCUUGUUACGUGCAAGAUCCUUACUGCUACCUGAAGUGAUAGUGAUAACAGUGAUCUAUCCUGCCACUAGGGAAGAGAUGUAUGAUUUGCCCUAUGAAUUGAUGAUGAUGUCACUGAUAUAUACCUGGCAACAUACACCAUGGUAUUGUCCAAGGUCCAUGCUGCCAUUGACAACCUGGUUGUCAGUAAUCCCUGCUGCACCUGCUUACCAUGUUAAUAUCACCAUUACCAAAUGCUUGUAGAAACUAUGAUGGUUUCAGUAGCCAUGUUUAAAAUCAUAGUCCAUGAUGCCUCUUAGGAUAUUUUUAAUGCAAAUGAUCCCUGGGGCUAGCAGAAUCUAAGGUAAUGUUUUAGGUCAAUACUGAUGUCUGAGAUCAUGUUGAGUCAUAUGUUCUGAGAUAUAUUAUGGUGAAGUCACAUAUAGUGUGGCAACAGACACGGUUGUCUGUUAUAUAUAUUUCAGUCUUCCAGCAGUCAUGUCCGUGAUCCCUGCUGCCUCUUGGGAACACAUUAAUAUCACUGUUUCUAACUGGCAAUGGCAUCGUCACUGAUGCCAAUUUUCUAAGAUUCUGCCCAAUUCAUGAGAAGGGUUCUUCUAGCUGUAACCAUUUUUAUGUCAUGUUGCAUUCUGUCACUAGACAAGAGGUUUCUGUACAUGGUCAUACCUGCCCUAUGAAACUGUCUUGAUAUCCCUGGCAACAGAUAUACCAUAGUAUAUUUCAGAUUCCUAUGCCCACAGUCAACCAGGCAGUGAAUAAUUGCUACUACCACUUUGGAACAAAUUGAUGACAUUCGUGAUCCCAACUGCCAAGGGAAAAAUAUUGAUGUCGUUCAUCUAUGCUGUCAUUUGUAUCCACAUUGUGAACCAUAAGUAGCAUGUUUGAAGAGGCCUUGAUGUCUGUGAUAACUCAACCAGAAUAAUCUGUUGUGAAUUUCAGUGUUAGUUCUGGUGCUAAAGGUCAUAAUGAGGCAAGUCCUGUGUGUUCCUACUGGAGACAUGUGAUGCUAGUGAUGCUAGUGAUGUUGAUGCUAGUGAUCAUGUGUGAAACCUGAAGCUGUGUUGAUGUCAGUGCUGCAUGCUAUAACCAGAAAUCAUGAUGGAGUCUAUUAUUGUGAUGGCUAUGAUCUGUGCUGCUUCUGGAGAACAUGCUAAAUUCUGAGGUCCAUACUGACACAUGAGGUCAUAGUGAGAUCCAUAGUCAGUGCUGUUUCUAAAGACCUUCUUGAUGUCUAUGAUCAAUGUGGCCAGCGUGUCAAUUGUGAAGUUCAUGGUCACAACUGCUUCCAAAGAUCAUAAUGAGGAAGACCUUAUUGAUGACAAGGAUCUGUGCUGCUGCAUGAGAACAGGCUGAAUUCCAAGUUCUAUACUGAUGUGCAGGGUCAUAUUGAGACCUCAUUAUGAGUAAUAUCCUUUCUGCCACAAGAAGAAAUUUGAUAUAAUUGAUUCAUCCUGCUACUGGAGAAGAGACUUAUGUUCAUAAUUUCUUCUACCCUCUGAAUCAACACUGAUGUCAGUGAUACAAUUGUCAACAGAUAUCAUACUAUAUCUAUAGUCCCUGCUGCAAUAGCAAGCAUCAUAUUAAAUAUUUGUGCUGCCAUUUUGGACCAGGAUGAUAUCAGUUACCACAACUGCCAACAGAAAUAUAGUGAUGUCACUCAUCCAUGCUUCUACCUGUAAAUAUAUUACUAUCCAUAGAUGUUGCUGCCUCUGAAGAGCUUUGUGAUGUCUGUUAUCCAUGGUGCUAGAAGAGUCUGUCUUGAAGUUCAUGGUCGAUAAUACUGCCUAAGUCAUGUUGAUGUAUGUGUACUAUGCUGCCACCAGAGACGUGUUUUAUGACUGUGACCUGACUUGCCUCCUGAAGCAGUGUUGAUGUCAUGGCUGCAUACUGACAUCACUAAUUGUGAUGGUGUUUAUUGUUCCAGUGGCAGGUAGGACCUGCCCUAUGAAACUAACAUGUACCAAGGGAUAAAUGCAUGCAUUAAGGACAUGUACCAGUACAACAAAACACAGGAGUGUAUGAAAUGCCUUUUAUGCAUGCAUGAAGCCCCUGCUGACUAAUCAUAACUCUUUUGACUAUAUUAUGCAUAAGAUCCUCACUGAAAUCAGAAGAAUUGUUCAAGAUGUCAUUGAUCCAUCCUGACAAUGGAGAAGAUGUUUAUGUUAAUAUUCUCUCUUGCCCUCUGAAUCUAUACCAAUGUCCAUGAUAUGCUCAGAAACAGAUACAAUGGUAUUGCCCAAGAUAAAUGCUGCCACAGGUAACCUUGAUUUUAGUGAUCCCUGUUGCAAAUGAGUACAAUGUUAAUAUCACUAAUUCAAAGUGCCACCAGAAACUAUGCUGAUGUCCAUCAUCAAUGAUAACACCGGCAUCAAGGUUGAAUGCCAUAGUCCAUGUUGGUUCUGAAGAGACUGAUAAUGUAAAGGAAACCUGUUGCUACCAAAGUCUAUGGUGAAGUUCAUAGUCAAUAUUGCUAACUAAGGUUUUGUUGAGUUAACCUUUCUGUGAUAUGUUGAGGUCAGUGAUACAUUAAGGCAACAAACACCAUUGUAUGCCCAUGAAUUUUGAUGCAAUGAGCAGCUAUAAUGUCAGUGAUCACUGGUGACACAUGUGACCACAUUAAUCUGAGUGAUUCCAGCUGCCACCAGAACCUAUACUGAUGUCUGUGAUCCAUUUUUCUGCCAUCUGAGACUAUGUUAUAUAAUAAAUAUAUGCUGCCAGCUGUACCACAUUUUAUGUCAAGGAUCCAUCCUGCCAAUAGAAAUGAAGUUUCUGUUCAUAGUCUGAUCUGUCCUCUGAAACUGCAUCAAUGUUACUGAUACCUUCUAGAAGCAAACACUAUGGUGUAUCCUAGAUCACUGAGGCCUCUGGCCCACCAGCAACCAUGAUGAUGUCCAUUAUUCCUAUUGAGGUCCUACCUGCCACAGGAAACUAUGGUGAUGUCCCUGACGUAUGAUUGUAGUUGCUUUGUAGAGCAUGCCAUGUAUAAGAUCCUAACUGUCACCAGAAUAGUUAUUGAUAUAAAUUCUGCAACCUUAUAGAUACUUUCCAGCUGUAACUAUUUUGAUGUUGAGGAUCUAUGCUGGAACUAGAGAAGAGGUUUCAGUAUAUGAUCUGAACUUCCAGUGAAACUAUGAUGUCAAUGACAACUCCACAGUAACAAAAAUUACAGUAUAUCCCGGAUCCAUUCUGUCACAAGUUACAAGAUGUUAGUGAUCCCAGGUCCCGCUAUGGAUUGGGAUGAUUAUAUUAGCGAUCCCACUUUUCCAGUGGAAGCAAUGUUCAUGUCAGUGCUACCUGUUGUCAUCAGCAAACAAUAUGAUGUCCUUCAUUGCUAUUGAGAUUCUACCUGCUACAAGAAACUAUGGUGAGGUCCCUGAUGCGUGCAUUUAUCCCUUGCUACAGACUAUCAUGUAUACUACCACCAGAAGUGAUGUUUGUGUUAGUGAUCCAUCCUGUGACAUUAGAAGAGAUUUAUGCCAAUAGACUCUUUCCCUCUGAGUAUAUACUGACGUCACUGACAUACCUAGCAACAUAUAUGGUAGGAUAGCACAAGAUCCAUGCUGCUACAGGCAACCUCAUCAAUGUUCCCUGUUGCCACUGGAAAUUAUACAAUCAUCACCAAUCUAACCUGCCCUCAGAAAUUAUGUUGAUGUCCAUCAUCCAUGAUGCCAACAGUACCCAUGUUACACAUAGUCCAUGUUGCUUCUGAAGAGAAUGUUAAUAUUAAGGAGUUCUCCAGCCACCAGUGUCUAUUCUGAAGUUUAUAGUCAAUAUUGUUGCCUGAGGUCAUGUUGUGAAGUGUUCUGA